AGAGUUUGAUCAUGGCUCAGGAUAAACGCUGGCGGCGCACAUAAGACAUGCAAGUCGAACGAACCAAACUCAUUCUUCAAGAUUGAGAGAGGUUAGUGGCGGACUGGUGAGUAACACGUAAGCAACCUACCUAAUAGAGGGGGACAACAGUUAGAAAUGACUGCUAAUACCGCAUAUGCCAAGAGUACCGCAUGAUACAAUUGGGAAAGGAGAAAUCCGCUAAUAGAUGGGCUUACGGCUGAUUAGCUAGUUGGUGAGGGAAAGGCUUACCAAGGCGACGAUCAGUAGCCGGACUGAGAGGUUGGACGGCCACAUUGGGACUGAGAUACGGCCCAGACUCCUACGGGAGGCAGCAGUCGGGAAUUUUGCGCAAUGGAGGAAACUCUGACGCAGUGACGCCGCGUGCAGGAAGAAGGUUUUCGGAUUGUAAACUGCUUUAGACAGGGAUGAAGAAAGGACAGUACCUGUAGAAUAAGCUCCGGCUAACUACGUGCCAGCAGCCGCGGUAAUACGUAGGGAGCAAGCGUUAUCCGGAUUUAUUGGGUGUAAAGGGUGCGUAGACGGGAAAUUAAGUUAGCUGUGAAAUGCCUCUGCUUAACGGAGGAACUGCAACUAAAACUGAUAUUCUUGAGUACUGGAGAGGAAAGUGGAAUUCCUAGUGUAGCGGUGAAAUGCGUAGAUAUUAGGAGGAAUACCGGUGGCGAAGGCGACUUUCUGGACAGAUACUGACGUUGAGGCACGAAAGCGUGGGGAGCAAACAGGAUUAGAUACCCUGGUAGUCCACGCCGUAAACGAUGGAU
rnacentral:rRNA from 1 species